ACUCAGAUCACGUAAAUUUUAAAUAGUCGAACAGACUAAAUCCUAUAGCCCCUUCACCAUAAAUUUAAUUUAAUUCAACAUCGAGGUCGCAAACUUAAUUGUUAAUAAGAACUCAUUAAUUAAAUAACGCUGUUAACCCUAGAGUAAUUUUAUUACCCUAAUUUUAUUAAUUAAAAAUAAAUUAUCUUCAACUAUUACCCCAAUCAAAAAUUAUUAAUUUUAAACUUCUAGGGUCUUCUCGUCCCGAAAACUCAUAAGAGCUUUUUUACUCUUAAAUUAAUUUCAAAUUCAUUUAAAAAAACCUUCCCUUCAGUAUCUACCUUUCAUUCCAGCCCCCAAUUAAAAAG
rnacentral:rRNA from 1 species